AUUGAACGCUGGCGGCAUGCCUUACACAUGCAAGUCGAACGGUAACGCGGGGCAACCUGGCGACGAGUGGCGAACGGGUGAGUAAUGCAUCGGAACGUGCCCAGAAGUGGGGGAUAGCCCGGCGAAAGCCGGAUUAAUACCGCAUGAGACCCGAGGGUGAAAGCGGGGGAUCGCAAGACCUCGCGCUUUUGGAGCGGCCGGUGUCAGAGUAGCUAGUUGGUGGGGUAAAGGCCUACCAAGGCGACGAUCUGUAGCUGGUCUGAGAGGACGACCAGCCACACUGGGACUGAGACACGGCCCAGACUCCUACGGGAGGCAGCAGUGGGGAAUUUUGGACAAUGGGCGCAAGCCUGAUCCAGCCAUGCCGCGUGCGGGAAGAAGGCCUUCGGGUUGUAAACCGCUUUUGUCAGGGAAGAAACGCUCUGGGCUAAUACCCUGGGGUAAUGACGGUACCUGAAGAAUGAGCACCGGCUAACUACGUGCCAGCCGCCGCCGUAA
rnacentral:rRNA from 1 species